rnacentral:rRNA from 1 species
UACGUAGGUGGCGAGCGUUGUCCGGAAUUACUGGGUGUAAAGGGCGUGUAGGCGGGGCGGCAAGUCAGAUGUGAAAUUCCGGGGCUUAACCCCGGCGCUGCAUCUGAAACUGUCGUUCUUGAGUGUCGGAGAGGAAAGUGGAAAUCCCAGUGUAGCGGUGAAAUGCGUAGAGAUUGGGAGGAACACCAGUGGCGAAGGCGGCUUUCUGGACUUUAACUGACGCUGAGGCUCGAAAGCGUAGGGAGCAAACAUG